GCAUGCCUGGCAGAGGUCCCUGAGGAGUGCCCUUAAUUAGGUCUAUAUCAGGUGUAAUGUCCGAGGAGAACCUGGCAACCACAAAGAGUUCCUUUGAACCAGCACCUACACAGCCAUGGAGAUGACAGAAGUCAGGCACUGCUGACCAGCAAGGGUGCUGUGAGGCAGGGAACCUCAGUGAAUGGCUUCUCCCGUGGCCAGCACCAAGGGGAAUGGGCUCAUGCACUGAGAGGAGGCAACAACGGAAAUCCAACGAAUAUGGCCACAGUCGGGGAGUUCCUGAAGCAGCCCCUCCCGAAGUCAGCUCUUAGCAAAUCAGGAUUCAAGUGCGCAGUGCUUAUCUGUCAACUCCUUGAAAGCAUAAACAGGAGUCCAACACCCAGAAGGUGUUUGAUAAACUUUUGCUGAAUACAUAAGAGAACAAUGAGCAACAUCCAUCAAAUUUAUCUGGUGCUGAA